CAGGAGCUCUCAAUGAAACGGUGAUGCUAUUUAUAAGGCGCUGGGAGAUCGCAAUGUCCUGCUGAGCCGUUACCUGUGGUCAGCCUCCUUCUGGAAUAGAUGACCUUCCUUUUGAGAUACAGGCAGAAAGUCCGUAGCUUCUUCUCAAGGCACACCUCAUUCUCACAUCUCCUCAGGCAGUCCUGGGUUACAGUCCAGUAAGUCAAGUUCAGGGAACAUCAUGUUUAUCUGAGAGUGAAAAGAAGCCCGAACUAAAAAACACACAGACAAAAAAAGUAAGAAAUAAUUAUAAACGUGGAUAUAAAUAGUUGAGAAUUUGAUUUUUUUUUCUUACCUGGAGCAAUAAUUUGUAGCUUGUAACAUGAAGCAUAUUUUUACAGUACAUUUUAACAUGCAUAUAAUGGUUUCAAGCUUCCGUUUUGAAUGAGGCAUAUUUAUACUCCAAAUGCCACAUUUACUUAUGUGUUUCCAGUGUGUCUGAAUAUUUUGGGAAGGAAACAAAUAGGAUGAUUAUGUAAUUGCCACCAAUAUGUUUUGCGUUGCUUUGUUUCGCUUUUGAAAUAACAACCAUAUUAUACCAUAAGUGGCCGAUUCAGUAAGGAAGGCAACAGAUUAUUUGUUGCAUGUGCUGUAUGUGCCAGGCACUGUCACAGGCUCUGCCCUCAGAAUUCUGCCUCCAUAAAUUUUGUGGACUAAGGAGGGGAGCUAGCCAAAGAAACAAGCAGUUGCAAUGAGUUUAUGAAGGCAAGUGAAAACACAGUUAACUGCAGGGCAUCUAGGCAGGAGCACCUGGUCCAAGCUCAGGAAAUCAGAAAAGCCUUUGCAAAGGAGAUGACCAUGAAGCUAAGUCCCAAAGAAGAAUGGAAUUUCAUCAGGCAAAUUCUGUGGGCUGGGACUUUCCAGACAGAAGGAUAGCUGUGUAUGCAACGACCCUGAUCGAAGAGAAAGAAUGAAAAAAAGGUUGGAGAUAGCUGACAGCUCUCUGUCUCUCAGUCUUUUAUUUUCCUGCCAAUUCUGAUUCCCCAGCUGAAGAACCGCAUCUACGACUGUGUUCUCUCGAUGUUGACAGAAACUCAAAAUUCAAGUAAUUUUGCUGCAAGUUUCAGUCCAUUCUUGAUAACUCAGAUUCCAAGGUUGCAGGCAGCUUCAGGUCUCCAUAAAAGACUGGUCUC